rnacentral:rRNA from 1 species
AUUGGCGUAUAUUAAAGUUGUUGCGGUUAAAAAGCUCGUAGUUGGAUCUGUGUAUCGGACGGUCGGUUCGCCGCUCGCGGCGUUUAACUGACCGUUUCCGGACGUCCUGCCGGUGGUCGUUGGUCCGCGAGGGCCUUCGGCCGUCACCUCCCUCCGGGCUUCUCUUAACCGGGUGGCCCGGUGGGCCGGCACGUUUACUUUGAACAAAUUUGAGUGCUCAAAGCAGGCCUACAGACGCCUGAAAACUGUGUGCAUGGAAUAAUGGAAUAGGACCUCUUUUCUAUUUUGUUGGCUUUUCUGAAACAGAGGUAAUGAUUAAUAGGGACAGACGGGGGCAUUCGUAUUGCGACGUUAGAGGUGAAAUUCUUGGAUCGUCGCAAGACGGACGGAUGCGAAAGCGUUUGCCAAGAAUGUUUUCGCUAAUCAAGAACGAAAGUUAGAGGUUCGAAGGCGAUCAGAUACCGCCCUAGUUCUAACCAUAAACGAUGCCAGCCAGCGAUGCGCCGAAGUUCCUCCGAUGACUCGGCGCGCAGCUUCCGGGAAACCAAAGCUUUUGGGUUCC